GGGUGAGUAACACGUGGACAUCUGCUUCGAGCGGGGGAUAACUGUCCGAAAGGAUAGCUAAUACCGCAUACGUCUCCUUGGUCUGCGGACCGGGGAGGGAAAGCUGCCCACUCUCAUGAACGGUAGCACUCGAAGAGGAGUCCGCGGCGCAUCAGCUAGUUGGUGAGGUAACGGUCACCAAGGCUAAGACGCGUAGCUGGUCUGAGAGGAUGAUCAGCACACUGGGACUGAGACACGGCCAGACUCCUACGGGAGGCAGCAGUGGGGAAUAUUGGGCAAUGGGCGCAAGCCUGACCCAGCCACGCCGCGUGAGUGAUGAAGGCCUUCGGGUCGUAAAGCUCUGUGGGGAGGGACGAAAGCCCUGAGGUUAAUACCCCUCAGGUUUGACGGUACCUCCUUUAGCAAAGCACCGGGUUAACUCCGUGGCCAAGCAGCCGCGGUAAAUCACGGGGGGGUCGCAAAACGUUGGCUCCGGGAAUUCCAUCGGGGGCGUAAAAGGCGCCACGUANGCGGGUCCCCUUAACGUCCGGGUGUGAGAAAAGCCCCUCGGGUUAAAACCCCGGAAGGGACAACGUGGNCAUUCCCGAACAACUUGGGCGG
rnacentral:rRNA from 1 species